GGCUUUACUACAUCGGUCCAGUUGAUGGUCACAAUCUUGAUGACCUGACAGCGAUUCUCAGAGAGGUCAAGAGUACUAAAACGACGGGUCCGGUGUUGAUCCAUGUUGUGACUGAGAAAGGCAGAGGAUAUCCUUAUGCAGAGAAAGCUGCAGAUAAAUACCAUGGUAAAUGAUUCUUUGAUAAGAACACCUAGUAAGGCUCUAUGUAAAUAAUAAAGCUGGAAUUCAUGAGCUCACCUUUUGUAGGAGUGACCAAGUUCGAUCCAGCAACGGGGAAGCAGUUUAAAUCGAGUGCUCCAACUCAGUCUUACACAACCUACUUUGCUGAGGCCCUGAUUGCAGAAGCUGAAGUAGACAAGGAUAUCGUAGCAAUCCAUGCAGCAAU
rnacentral:lncRNA from 1 species